CUUGGUCAUUUAGAGGAAGUAAAAGUCGUAACAAGGUUUCCGUAGGUGAACCUGCGGAAGGAUCAUUAUUGAUGUUACCAUCAUAAACCACUGUGAACCACCGGGGAAACCCGCAUAUAUACACACCUUUAAAAGUCUAAGUCUAAUAAAGUUAUUAAAUCUUAACAACUUUCAACAACGGAUCUCUUGGCUCUCGCAUCGAUGAAGAACGCAGCGAAAUGCGAUAAGUAAUGUGAAUUGCAGAAUUCAGUGAAUCAUCGAAUCUUUGAACGCACCUUGCGCUCCUUGGUAUUCCGAGGAGCAUGCCUGUUUGAGUGUCUUGUUAAUCAUCAACCUUUGCUUCGCGGUGAAGGCUUGGAUUUGGGGCUGCCGGCGUCCGCGUCGGCUUCCCUUGAAUGCAUUAGUGUUGGCUCUUGCCGCCGUGGGUGUAAUAAUAUUUCACUCUGCGGUUGCUUAAGCGCGAUGCUUACAACCGUCCCUCCGGGACAAUCACUUUUGACCAUCGACCUCAAAUCAGGUAGGACUACCCGCUGAACUUAAGCAUAUCAAUAAGCGGAGGA
rnacentral:rRNA from 1 species